GCGCUUGCCAGCGGGAGGGCGGAAUGCGGACAGCCGAGGGCGGAAGCGCUUGCCGGGGGAAAAGCGGAAGUGCGGACCGGCGAGUCGCCUUUUGGAGGCCAUGGCGGCGCUCGGCCGGCAGGUCUUCGACUGGCACCGCCUGGUCCCCCUCACCUGGGCCCAUGUUGCUAGGCAGACCCAUCGAGGAGAACAGAAAAGGACGUGUCCAUGUUUAUUGUAUAAACUGACCACAGCCUCCAAUGGAGGGGGCCUUGAGAAGUUAUCCCAUGUGGAAUCCAGAACGUACGUGCAGGAACCAGCGUGCAGGAUGCGUUUCACUCAGUACUCCCUUGAGAAGCGGAGGACUCCUGUGGCUCCAGGAUUUGUGGAGCGAGAGAAGGUCAUCAGUUCCCUCCUGGACAUGGGUUUCAGUGACGUCCACAUUAACGGAUUGCUCCAUCUGUGGCCAAGUACACACACUCAACAGUUGCUGGACAUCAUUUCAGAAUUAAUACUCUUGGGUUUGAACCCAGAGCCUGUGUACAUGGCCUUGAAGCAAAGUCCUCAGUUGUUGAAACUGCCUAUACUGCACAUGAAGAAGCGCUCUGGCUAUCUGCGAAAGCUUGGUCUUGGAGAAGGGAAACUAAAGACGGUGCUUCUCUGUUGCCCUGAAAUCUUCACCAUGCAUCAGAGGGACAUUGACAGCAUUGUUGGUGUUCUCAAGGAGAAAUGUCUUUUCACGGUACAACAGGUGACCAAGAUUUUACACAGAUGCCCCUAUGUUCUUCGGGAGGACCCCGGUGAACUGGAAUACAAAUUCCAGUACAGGGCAAGGAUCAAGAUGGCUCACACCUGCCCAGGAUGGCUGUGGUGCAGAGGCCGGUGUUCAGGCAGGAGAGGCCAGAAAAGGGCACUUGGAGAUCACUAUGCAGAAGAGGGCUUCCCUGAAGACAGCACCUCACACAUCGUCAUGCCUGCUGGUGGCCUGUGUGACUCCAUGGAGAAGGGCCCUGGAAGCUCACCCCUGGCCCACCGACUUCUCCCUUCCUGUGCGUUGCACUGUUUCUCUCUUCACCGCCCUCCAGCAGGUGUCAGAAGCCUCCCUGGCUGGCGAACCCGAGUGGGUUGAGGCUGUGAAGUCUGAGCCUUCACUGUGGGGCCAUUCCAGCAUUUACUUCAAUCCUCAGCCAGUCUCAAUGACUGAUGUUCAUAGAGAGAGAGAGAGCAGCACAAGCAGGAGGAGCCGCAGACAGAGGGAGAAACAGACUCCCAUGGAACAGGGAGCCUGAUGUGGAUCUCAAUCCCAGGACCCUGAGAUCAUGACCUGAGCUGAAGGCAGACGCUGGACCGACUGAGCCCCCCAGGCUCCCCUCCAUAGCACCUUCUUAUGACUUUAAUCCAUCGACUUCCAGAUUUUUCUGAGGAACUAAGAAGACAAAGACCCAAGGGUGCCCAGCAACACAGGAAGACAGGAGUGUGCCUCAUGGAAAGAACAUCCACAGAUGUGGAAGAGGAGGGACCCCAUGGGAGCCAGAGGUGGGUCGGAGGCCCUCAGACCCUCCAAGGGGGGGAUGCAAUCUGAUCUCAGCACUGCCGCCAACUAUUGCAGAAAUGUAGGCUCAGCUGCCCCUCCAGAUCUUCCCAUGGAAACAAGAGGGCCGCCCUCAGAGCUCUGGAAGGUAGGAUUUCUCGUAUCACAGCCUCCUGGCCAGGGAGGGCCUCCAGCAGUUCCUGGGGCCCACCUAACCCCGUGCCUGGGCCCUUCAGGACCAGCCACCCUCAGAGGCCAGCUCAGGGGGCCCUCCCCCUCUGGAGAAGUAAGGCUAGUGACAUUGGCAGGGAGGAGCACAAAUUGGCACCCCAAUGUCUUGGAUUUCCUGUUGCUAGGGGGAGCCUGGGAGAUCUGGCCUAAUCAAGGGGAGCAAUAGGGAACACUCCUGAAAGUACCCUGGAGCCCAGAACACCAUCAGGGCAAAGGGAGUCUUUUGGAUUGUUUCUGCUCCUCGUGCCUGCACUUCUACUCACGUAGCCACACUGUCACUUAACCAGUCGUGGUUCGGCGACCCUGUAGAGUGUGCUCUCUGCAUGGGCCCAGUUUUGGGACCUGCCUUUCUCUAGAGAUAGACUUCCAGGUGUGGAUGCACUCGGGGCCUCUUAGGUGGGACUCGGCACUCCCUUGCCAAGCAAAGCCAGCGUGUGGGCUCUACCUCCCGGGCUUGCAGUGUGGCAGUGGGGAAGCAAGGCAGCUCCAGCGGGCUUCUGUGUGCACUAGUUGGGAAGGCCCAGCAAUGCCUCCUCAUCUACAACCCACUAGAAGUCUUAGAUAGCAGGGGAAGCACAUCCACAUGGGAAAGGGAUCCCCGGGGGACUGGCCAGACCCUCCUCUGAAGAUCCCGUUUCUCAGGGUCUCACAGCCUGCAAUCUUUCUAGAAAAGGGGCAUCGGCCUGCCCACACCUAGACCCACACCUGUACCUACACCUGCACCCACAUGUAUAGCCACACCUGCUCACACCAGUCCCCACCUGUACCCACACCUGUCACCCACUGCUCAGGCUUGCGUCCAUACUACACUGAUGCCAGCUCACGGCAGCCCACAUCCGCACUUUGCCUUGAUCCUCAGCAACCCAAGCCCCUGGCUCUUGGGCUCCUUGGUUCGAGUUCCCCCAUCCCCUAAGCUCAGACUCGGGCUGAGGCGUAUUUGGUGCUCCAAAGCAGGGGGUGGUGCUUAGGUUCCCCAGGCAUCUCUUGCUGGAGCAUCUUCCCUGGUCCUUGGUGAGCCUUUCUGCCCACCAGCACGUGCCUGACCCCCAGGCCCUGGGCCCUGGGCCCUGGGCCCUGAGAAGUGUGCGUCUGCCCCCCUGGCCAGUCCCGAUUGGCUGCACCUGCCCUGGGUUAGCUCUCAGAGACUGGUGUUCUGAGAAGCCCUCGGCCUCCUUGUGGGUGGGAGGUGAGUCUGCUAGGACCCUCUAGACACCAGCCUCACUGUGGCCUUUGUGGGGCCUGUGGUUAGCUCUCCACCGAGUGGCUAAAUCAAUCCCCUCGUCUCUGUUUAUAAGCAUCAUGUUUCAGAAGCUUCUGUGCCUCCUCCAGGGCCCCCCCAGAGGAAGGGGCCAGGAUGCAUCUUUCUGCCCUGGGGGGGACCCUCCCCCUAUCUACUGUACCUUAUGAGCUUUCAACUCCCUCCACUCAGUAGAUGCCUGGGGUGUGUGACAAGUGUCAAAUCCCAGGAAACAGCAAGUCCACGCAAAUGUGGGGAAAUGGGUGAAAAAAAUAUCUGACUUCUAGGUGGUCCUGGGGACACAGGAGACCUGGGUGGUGCUCCUCCCCCACCAAGAACACAGGCUGGGAGAGAAUGAGGGGAAAGCGUUGACUCCUGGCCCCAAGAAGGGGCGGCCCACUUUGCACCACAAACCUCUGUCUCCCUGGCCCCGGAGCCAGAGCCAAGGUAGGGAAGCCUCCCCAGGAGGAGACAGGGCUCAAGGGGCAAGCUACUACCUGCCCACAUUCAUGGCUGGGGGAGAGGGGUGGGGGAGGCCAAGCCCUCCUGGCCAGCAGCCUGCCCCGUCCCCAGCCUCCCGCUCCCUCCUCCCUCCUAGGGUCCCACCCCCUCCUCUCAUCCCCCACUCCCUGAGCCCCCCCAACCCACAGCCCUGAGCCGCUGGCUCCAUCCUCUUACUUGUAUGGCUGCAGCCCCCCACGCGCACCUGGGCAUCAUCGAUUCUGAACGCCCAGCGCCCGGGCACGCCCACGUUGGUGGUGGUCUCCACCUCUGCCAUGUCCGCUGUGCGGGAGCCGGGGAUGCUGAAGUAGCGCCGCCCAUCACCCGCAUUGAAACCGGCCUGGGGGUGGGGUGGGGGAUGGAGAGUCGGGGGGGCAGGCAUGGGUUGGUCUGCAGGUCUCCCUAAAAUUCCUGAGACCUCCCUCCCUGCGGUGGCCAUGGUCAAAGAGAUCAUGUGGAAGAUGGCCUUGUAGUCCUGGAGUUUUAUGGGUUUGGGGGUACCCUACCACCCUCCACAUUGUUACUGUUCUGAGGAGCAGCCUCCCAGCUGGGCCACAGAUCCUGGCCACCGACACAGUUGGGCCCCAGCAUGCUGCCCUCGCACACCUGCAGGGACUUCCUCCCUGGCCUCUUGGCUUCCGUGGAGACCAGGGGCAGGUGUGACCUCAGAAGAAAGUAGAUGGCUAGGAAGGAGAUGAGGGUAUUCCCAUCCUGAGGAAGCACUCGAUGGCCUUGGGGACUUGCACUUGACCACUCCCUUGACACCUGUGAUUUCCUGCUGGCCACAGUUCUGUGGGCCACAGGGCAGGGCAGGGCAGACCCCAGGACAGGUAGCAUGCAUAGAACCAUGGUCCCAUGUACCUUGGCUGCAACUGGCUCUGGGAGGCCAGGGCAACGCAGGGCAGAACAGAAAUGCCUUUGACCUGAGGAUGUUUCUGAAUCUGGCCUGGGGUUAGCAUCAGAAGGCCUCACACUGGCAUCUGCACAGUACUGGGUGUGUGUAGGGGGGGUCUGUCUAGACAGACAGACAGGACAGUCGUGGCAGUGGGGAGCCGGGCCCCUACCUGGGCUGCGAUGCCCCCCAGGCCCGUGGUGUCGCCCCCGCUGCUGGCGUGUGUGCCUGUGGUCCACGUGAUGGACUCGUAGUUGAAGAUGGUGAAGGAGAACUUGCCAUCAGUGAUAAGCACAGUCUGGAACGUGUUGACCUGUCAAGGAGGGAGGCCUGAACCAGGUUCUGGGCUCCCCCAUCCAUGCUGCAAGUCCCUGCCCCCUUCAGCAUGCCUUUACACAAUGUCCUCAUCUACUGACCCUUCCUCUGUCUUCCUAACUAGCUGGUCAGCCAUCUGCCGUCGAGCUGAUGGCCUCGUCCUCAUCCUCCACUGUGUCCCUAGAUCCUGAGGCCCUGGCAUAGGUCAGGGCCCCUAAGAAUGGUUAGCUGGUGAGUGAGACACACUGAGGUGUCACCAGGGCCCACAGACGCCAGGUGCAGACACUGCGCCCUGUGGUGGCUGGGGCACAAAAGUUAGCGUUAACUGGGUAAAAUCCCCAAAAUUGCUUCAUGUGAAACAAAAAAUGUAAAUAGGGAAAGAUAAAAAGAGGAAACAAGGAAAAGCAGGGGUUUUUUGGUUUGUUUGUUUUUCAUGGAUUUCUCUUCCACGAAGAUAUUAUUGAAUGGUAUAUACAUGAGAUGUUAUUUCAGACUAGGGAAGGGGUUGGAUUAAGAAUGAUCUUGGGACAAUAGGAAACUGUCUUAAAAAGAAGAAAUUUAGAGCUUUAUAUCACUCAUGAAAAUAAAUACCACAUCAAGUAAGGUUGUGAACAGAACCAUCAAAGCCCUAGAGGAAAAUAUAGGCGAGUGCUUGGAGCCAUGUCGAGGGAAGACUUUAAGUGUAACAUUUGUUAACUGCAAAACCCAAAAAGGAGAUUUAUAUAUUUGACUACAAAAGCUUCUGCAUAUAAAAAAGUGCCAUAAGAUCAAACAGAGUGGCCACACAGCAAAGUGAAAAAUGUAUUUAUAACAGAGGGGGCAGGUGAAAUUAUUGAUAUCCUAAAUUGAAGCAGAACUUCCAUGGGCCAGGAAGAAAAAGACAACAGAAAAUUGGCAAAGUUUAUGUGAACAGAGGCAUUACCACAGAAGACACCUCGUUGAUAAUACAGGACAAAUUCAGCAGCACUAGAAGCUGAGAGGUGAAGCGUAAUAGAGAAAGGGCUUCCGUGUCUGCUGGAGCGGCUGGCAAGGGUGCAGCAUGCUGGGUCCCCCGGCUGGGCACAGGGAGACCGGGGCUUACACAUCUGGCUUGUUCGUGCCUGGUGGGGGGGGGGGCGGCGCACAGGCUUGAGGGGGCAAUCAGGCCUCUGUGGGCAGCAACCUUCCUGCUGGAGACUCAUGCCAGACAACAGCUCCCAAUCUAGCAGGGCCUGGCAGUGCCCACCGUGGGACACCUUGCCAUCGGUGCCACCCGGCACAGUGAUGGUCUGCAGGUGUGGGACAGUGGGACAGCACUGGUCUGUCCUUUCCCUUACAUAACCAUGAACAGCAGGAAGACUGAGUGCUCCCCUUGGGGAACACAGACCUGCUGCUAGCACUCUGAAGAUAUCCAGGAUCAGUGGCUGUGAAAGCGGAGUGGCGGUGAGCUGAGGAAGGGCAAGCCAGCAGCCGGUGUGGCCAGAGGUAGGGUCCAGAGCUCGAGGAGACCCAGACCCUGCAUGGAGCUUCACGCUCCAUCCCUGCCAAGCAGCUGGCUCUAGGAGGCUCCCAGGUUACAGACCAGCCCCCAAACCCAGAACUCUGACCCUUUCCAGGGAUGCAUGUGUUGCCCGAUAAUUUGUAGCCCCCAUAUCCGGGCCUGCCAGCCUGCAAACUGGAGAAGUUAGGGUUUCCUCUGUUGGCAUAGGAGGGGCUCUGUUCCUCCUCCUUCCAGGGGGCUGCAGAAGUGCCAGGGAUUUCCACGUGGGAGAAGGAGGAAAAUGCCCUACUCCUGCUGAGUAAAAAACCAAAACACAAAACAGUGAGUUCUAGCCAGCUCUAUUUGUUAAAGUGUGUGUCAGGAUGCAAUAGAUAUUUGAUGGGAUUGAUCUCUUGUUAGCAGACUUACUGAUUCUUUUUUCUUUUUGUUACAAGGAUGUUUUUCUUACAAAUUGAUAAGAAAAACAAGUGAAGCUGACAAAAUAUUAGUGGACUGUGCAUGAAUAAAUUCCAUGAAAAGUGUCAAUA